GACGAACGCUGGCGGCGUGCUUAACACAUGCAAGUCGAACGGUAAGGCCCUUCGGGGUACACGAGUGGCGAACGGGUGAGAAACACGUGGGUGAUCUGCCCUGCACUUCGGGAUAAGCCUGGGAAACUGGGUCUAAUACCGGAUAGGACUACGGACUGCAUGGUCUGGGGUGGAAAGCUUUUGCGGUGUGGGAUGGGCCCGCGGCCUAUCAGCUUGUUGGUGGGGUGAUGGCCUACCAAGGCGACGACGGGUAGCCGGCCUGAGAGGGUGACCGGCCACACUGGGACUGAGAUACGGCCCAGACUCCUACGGGAGGCAGCAGUGGGGAAUAUUGCACAAUGGGCGGAAGCCUGAUGCAGCGACGCCGCGUGAGGGAUGACGGCCUUCGGGUUGUAAACCUCUUUCAGCAUCGACGAAGCGAAAGUGACGGUAGGUGCAGAAGAAGGACCGGCCAACUACGUGCCAGCCGCCGCGGUAA
rnacentral:rRNA from 1 species